rnacentral:tRNA from 1 species
GCCUUCGUGGUGUAGUGGUCAGCGCGCUCGGCGCGUAUUCGAGAGGUCCGUGGUUCGAGUCCCGGCGAGGCA